rnacentral:lncRNA from 10 species
GCUGCCUGCCAGUCCCCUGCCAUGUGCCCGCACUCCUCAGCCCUUGGGUGGUCAAUGGGACUGGGCGCCCUGGAGCAGGGGGCGGUGCUCGUCAGGGAGGCUUGGGCCGCACAGGAGCCCACGGAGUCGGGGGGAGGCUCAGGCAUGGCGGGCUGCAGGUCCCGAGCCCUGCCCCACAGGAAGGCAGCUAAGGCCUAGCGAGAAAUUGAGCACAGCAGCUGCUGGCCCAGGUGCUAAGCCCCUCACUGCCCAGGGCCGGUGGGGCCGGCCGGCCGCUCCGAUGCGGGGCCCGCUGAGCCCACGCCCACCCGGAACUCGCGCUGGCCCGCAAGCACCGCGCACAGCCCCGGUUCCCACCUGCGCCUCUCCCUCCACACCGCCCUGCAAGCUGAGGGAGCCGGCUCCAGCCUUGGCCAGCCCAGAAAGGGGCUCCCACAGUGCAGCAGCGAGCUAAAGGGCUCCUCAAGUGCCGCCAGAGUGGGGGCCGAGGCCGAGGAGGCACGGAGAGUGAGCGAGGGCUGCGAGGGUCGCCAGCACGCUGUCACCUCUUAAUAGAUCUAAGAUUGUUUACAUUUAUUGUGCUGAGAUGAACUGGUGGCAGUGAUGGGAUGUCAGUGGUUAGAGGUGAUUUUUGUUUGUUUGCCUCGGAAAAUAAAUUCAAGUGACAAGAUUUGUUUUUGUUAUAUUAGAAAUUUCUCUCCAUACCCUUUAUCAAAUGAGAAUUGCUGUGCCUUGAGAAGGUCUGUGAAGAAAUGAUUGCACAAUUGUGCCAGUUCAUGCUGUCUGCUUGUCACGGGACUUCCUCUGGGCCUUCUAGUAGUGACUGUGCUGACAGUGGACAGGGGCUCUCACCCUUAUCUCAGUAUAGAUGCACAUUUCAACACAAUCCAAUAUGGCCAAAAGGCAAAUUAUGCUAGUGGGAAGGUUUUCCAUACUUCCCGGAAUUCUAAGAAUUCUCCUUUCCCUG